UAAUGGUUAGUUUAAAUAAAACAAAUGAUUUCGACUCAUUAAAUUAUGUUUAUAUACAUAACCACUAA
rnacentral:tRNA from 1 species